AAGCUUAGCUUCACUCUUUACGAAUUCUGAUGCUACAGUGGACAGCAUAAGAGAAAAGAGAGAGCAUAUCAUCAUCAAUGGAGAGAACUGUAGUAGAAGAGACAGCUGAGGCUUUCGAAAGCUUAGAAAUGGAAGGUAAGGCAACGCUCUACGAAGCUUAUAACGAACUUCAUGGUCUAGCACAGGAAUUCAACACGCCGUUUGAAGCUCCCGCUGUGCUGCUCGUCGGUCAUCAGACCGACGGCAAGAGUGCACUUGUCGAAGCUCUUAUGGGCUUCCAAUUUAACCACGUCGGUGGAGGAACUAAGACGCGCCGUCCAAUUACACUAAACAUGAAGUAUAAUCCGGAAUGCGAUUCUCCUGUAUGUCAUCUCGUCUCCGAUGCUGACCCUCUCAUUGCUCAUGAAAAGUCUCUCCAUGAAAUUCAGGUACAUAUUGAAGCAGAAAACAUGAGAUUGGAACGCGAAACUUGUCAAUUCUCUGCUAAAGAGAUAAUUAUAAGAGUGGAGUAUAAAAAUUGUCCAAAUCUCACAAUUAUAGACACUCCAGGUCUUGUUGCACCAGCUCCAGGUCGUAAAAACCGAGCUUUACAGGUCCAAGCUCGGGCUGUCGAGUCUCUUGUAAGAGCUAAAAUGCAGCAUAAGGAGUUCAUCAUAUUAUGCCUAGAAGAUUGUAAUGAUUGGAGCAAUGCAACAACAAGGAGGAUAGUGAUGCAAAUUGAUCCAGAGCUAUCGAGGACUGUAAUUGUGUCCACGAAGCUCGACACCAAGAUACCUCAGUUUGCGCGUGCUUCUGAUGUUGAAGUUUUUCUUCGUCCACCAGCUAGUACUCUCGAUGGCUUCAUGUUAGGAGAUUCUCCUUUUUUCACAUCAGUGCCUUCGGGAAGAGUUGGUUCUGGACCAGAAUGCCUUUACAAAUCAAAUGAGGAGUUCAAACAGGCUAUUUCUCUAAGGGAGAUGGAAGAUAUAUCAUUCUUGGAGGAGAAAUUGGAUCGUCCACUUUGUAAUCAAGAAAGAAAUAGGACAGGGGUUAGCAGUCUUCGGCGGUUCUUGGAGGAAUUACUGCAGAAAAGAUACAUUGACAGUGUACCAUCUAUCAUUCCACUUCUCGAGAAAGAGUCAAGAAGUGCAAACAGAAAACUAAAUGGAAUAAAUGAGGAACUCAGCACAUUGGACGAAGCAAAAUUGAAGGAGAAAGGAAGAACUUUUCAUGAUCUAUUCCUGACAAAGUUAUCGUUACUACUGAAAGGGUCGGUGGUUGCACCUCCGGAUAAAUUUGGUAUUUGUCUAAAUCUUAAACAGGUAGCAAUUAUAGAUAUUGUAUAUUUGUUUUCUUAUCAUCUCUUCCUUGUUCUAGGGGAAACACUACAAGAAGAACGGUCCAAUGGAGGGCCAUUUGUGGGUACUGAUGGUAUCCAGCUUCCAUACAAGUUAAUACCGAAUGCAGGAAUGCGUCUCUAUGGAGGUGCUCAAUACCACCGAGCAAUGGCUGAGUUUCGUUUCGUUGUUGGAGGAACUAAAUGCCCUUCAAUUACUCGUGAAGAAAUUGUGAAUGCGUGUGGAGUUGAAGACAUUCACGAUGGAACCAAUUAUUCCAGGACAGCUUGUGUGAUUGCUGUUGCAAAGGCUCGUGAUACAUUUGAACCUUUUCUUCAUCAGCUGGGCAGCAGACUCUUACACAUCUUGAAGAGAUUGCUUCCUAUUGCAGUUCAUCUGCUUCAGAAAGAAGGCGAAUUUCUGAGUGGUCACGAGGUGUUCUUGAGGCGGGUUGACACUGCCUUCAACAACUUUGCAGAAUCUACUGAGAGAUCAUGCCGAGAAAAGUGUAUGGAGGAUCUUGUGAGCACUACUCGUUAUGUUUCAUGGUCCCUCCACAAUAAGAAUCGAGCGGGAUUGCGCCAUUUUCUAGAUUCUUUUGGUGGUACAGAACACUCCCUUAACAACGAAAGUUCUCCAUCAGCUGCUGUAUCCCAGGAGUCAUCAUUUGGAUCCGGUUUCAACGAUAAACAAGAUAUCAAAUCAAGAACCGAUGUGAAACUCAGUCAGAUAUCAUCGGGCAUGGAUUCAAAUGCCGGUGGGGUUCAGACAACAGAGAUGAGACUCGCUGAUCUUCUCGACAUCACCCUUUGGAACAGAAGGCUUGCUCCUUCCUCGGAAAGGAUUGUCUAUGCUUUGGUUCAACAGAUCUUCCAUGGCAUUAGAGAAUAUUUCUUAGCUUCUGCUGAGCUUAAGUUCAAUUGCUUCCUUCUUAUGCCGGUUGUGGAUAAGUUGCCUGCACUUCUUCGGGAAGACCUAGAAUCUGCAUUUCAAGAUGAUUUAGAUAAUGUUUUUGACAUUACCAAUUUGAGGCACUCAUUGGGGCAGAGAAAACGAGAAACAGAAAUUGAACUAAAACGGAUACAAAGACUAAAAGACAAAUUCAGGCAGAUUCACGACCAACUCAAUCUGCAUCAAGUUUCUUCUUCGAGGCCAUAUGUAUAAUUUCCGAAGAUUAAUUUGCCGGGUUGGGAUGGCGACUAUUCUCUCAAAUUACUCUAUAUAGAUUGUGGUGGGCAUACGAGUUUGGUCAGAUAUGGAUAGACCAAAUGGAGUGAAGAAUAGGAGGCGUGAACUUGCCUCUUUUAUGUGUCUAUUUACUACUCUUACAAAUUUAUUAUUAUUAUUAUUAUUAUUGUAAAAUAUAACUAUUUUUUAAAGAAUUUACUUACAUUUAA